rnacentral:piRNA from 1 species
UUUCAAUAUUCCAAAUUGCCU